UAGAGUCAACUUGGAAGAGACACGCUACAGGUGCCAUGAGUGUGGGAGAAACUUCAAUGAGUGCUCUGCCCUUAUCAGACAUCAGAGAAUCCACACAGGAGAGACGCCCUACACAUGCUCUGAGUGCGGGCAAAGUUUCAAUCAGCACUCAAGGCUCAUUAGACAUCAGAAAAUGCACAGGAGAGAGAAUUGUAAUAAAUCCCUUGACUAGCGUUGGCAAAAACAAAUUUUUUUUAAAAAAAUCACAUUAGUUAAUUCCCACAUAGUGAUUUUUGUAUCAUCUUCACCGUGGUGUCUCAGCUCCACCAGAUAAGUUGCUGCCUUCUGCCUUUUGCAGCUCAUCCUUCUUUGGGGUCAGUCCUAUGAUCUUUUCUGUCAACUCCUUUCCUUUUGAGUCAUAGGAGUGUGUAUCCCUCCAGCCAGGAAUGUUCAUGAGUUUCAAGUUGGGGAAGAGGUUUGAUCCCAGCAAGGUACACUGAGGCAAAAACUACCUGUGCCUUCCAUCCACUAGGACUGUACAUGGCGUUAGCUGCUCAAGUUAGUCAUCUUAAUGUAAAAAGUUGUAGUACAGAUGCAGCCCAGGUGCAGUGGUUGGCAUUAGCUUUCCCCUUGACCUGACCUAAACUCCAUCACUUUUCCUAGUCUUAACUAACCCUGAGUAUCAGGGUUAUCCUGUUCCCCCAUUUAAAAGCAAUUGUUAGUCAUCGAGUUCUCCCUUGGGGAACACAUUGUUUCAUUCUCAGUUGUUCUGAUGUUGCUUCAGGUUGUGCUGGAGAGCAGAUAUUUUUAUUAUUAUUUUCCGCAUUUAAAAUAUAUUGAACUAUAACAAAGAGCAGGAACAGGGCAGGGAUAGGGAAAAAAGUCAUUUCCUCCUCUGUAACAACAGACAUAGUUAGGGUAAGUCAGAGGGAGUCCCUUAUUCCCCAUAACUGUCCUUCAAUCCGUGCUAGAACCUAAGAAUCCUUUUCCUUUCCCCAGUUGUGGGAUGGGAGACUUCCAAAAGUGCUCCCUGUGCUAUAGCACAUGGCUAAGCUCAGAGAAUAAACCCCAAAUCUCCCCUGA